rnacentral:lncRNA from 1 species
UGUUCUUCAUGGUGGCGUCGUGGAUUCAGCGUGUUUGACGGCGGUUCGUGGAUUCGGAUCGUGGGCUCAUGGAUUCGAGUGGCGUUCGUGGAUUCGGACGUGUGCGAGGCGUUCGUGGAUUCGAACGUGAGGGCGUGGACAACCCGGAGGAUUGCGCGAGAUUCGUAGGAGGUUAAGAGAGGUUGAGUCCGUGGAGCCGGUAAUCACCUUGUAAUCUUUUCUUUUAGUAAAUUAUUUUUUCGCGUGUUGGUCCCGUGGAUUUUUUACUCCAAGUUGGAGUUUUUCCACGUAAAUCUCGGUGUGAUUUUUAUUUUUCGCAUUCAUAUUUAUCACAUUGAGAUUUAUGGUUUUUGGCUAUUUCACCUAUUCACCCCCCUCUAGGUGAUAGAUACAAUCUAGAUAGAUCCUUGGGCUCCUCAAAACUUACAAUUGGUAUCAGAGAAUCUAGAUAAAUUGUUUAUCUAAUGGCCGAAGGUGAAAACAUUAAUCGACCAUCGCUUUUCGAUGGCACAAACUAUGCCUAUUGGAAAGUUCGCAUGAGAGCUUUUCUAAUUGCAAUCGAUGAGCGCGUUUGGCAAUCAAUAGAAUUUGGAUGGAAACAUCCUAUUGAAAAGGUCAAGAAUGUUGAAACGCCAAAACCAUGGAACAAGGGGACGAAAGAUGAAAACGAGGCAUCUUCGUUUAACGGCAAGGGCAUAAACGCUUUAUUUAAUGCAUUGUCUCAAACGAAGUUUACUCGUGUUUCGGCGUGUGAAACCGCCAAGGAGAUUUGGGAUAUUCUUCAAGUUACACAUGAAGGAACGGGCUUAGUAAAGGUCCAAAAGUUGCAAAUGCUAACAAGCAAGUUUGAUUCUAUUUGUAUGGAUGAAAACGAGACCUUUACCGAGUAUUAUACGCGUCUACAAGACGUUGUGAAUACAUGUGCUAACUUGGGAGAGAAAAUCUCGGAUUCAAAGGUUGUUAGAAAGAUUCUUCGAACUCUUCCGGAACGCUUUCGGGCAAAAGUUGCCGUGAUCGAAACCGUUAAGCAUCCGGAUGAGAUGAAAGUCGAAGAGUUAGUAGGCGCUUUACAAACAUAUGAGAUGACUUUUCCUACUAAUCAAUCUUCUUCGAAGUCUUUCUCUAAAAGCACAGGGGUUGCAUUGAAAUCGACGAAAGAGGAAGACGGCGACUCGAAUUCCGAUGGAGAGAUCUCAAUUUCCGACUUCGAACAUCAACUUGCGCUCCUCACGAAAAAGUUUCGCCCGAAUUUCCGAAGGAAGAACAAUUCGGACAAGGCUACAUCAUCUAAGCAACAAACGUUUUUUAAAUCUUCUACAUCUAAAGAGAAGAAGCGUGCACAGGCUUCGAAAGAAAAGGAUGAAUUUGAAGGUGAAAUCCGAUGCUUCAAGUGCAAAGGCUACGGUCACAUCGCAACGGAUUGUCCCUCAAAGAAAUCAUAUAGUAAGAAGGCAUUGCAAGCAAAGACGUGGGAUGAUGCAACUUCAAGUGAUUCAAGCUCGAGUGACGAAGAAAAGAAUGGAAACCUUGCUUUAUUUGCUAAAUCUACCUUGCCUUCGUCUAACGAUCCUCUAUUGCUACUAAUUCCAAUAUUUCUCUUUCUUCGCAUGAUUCUUCGAGCGACAAUGGCAAAAGCGAGGAGGAAUCAAACGACAACGACAUAGCGGAAGCGUACAAUCAACUUCUUAUUGAAUCAAAGAAGAUGGCUAAACUUAAUAAGAAGUUGAGGCGUCGUUUGUUGAAUCUUGAAGAGGACAACAACAACUUGAAGACCACAAACAAAGCUCUUGAGGAGGAAAGGGAAUCAAUUUUGAAAAAUAAUUCGGACCUCCAAGAGAAGCUCAAUGAAACGGAAUAAACGAUCUAAUCAUGUAAAGACAAGAUUGGAUUUUUAGAACAUCAAUUUCAUGAAUCGCACAAAUCCAAUCAAUCCUUGAUCAACCAAUUCGACAACUCCAAAUCGACAUUCAAAAGUUUUCAUUGAGAUCUAAGAAAUUGGAUAAAAUGCUUGGAUUGGGUCAAACGGAUAAAUUAGGCCUCGGAGACGAAAGAGUUUUUGUUGAGAAGGAUUCUAAAUCAACUUCGAAAGUCUCAACAACUUUGAAAGACAAGGCGUGUCAUCGUUGUGGCAUUAAAGGACACAUCAAAAAGAAUUGCUCAAACAAGGAAAAGAUGAAUCAAUCGGCAAGGACUUCACAUCAUUCGACAACUCCUAAAGCUCAAGCGGCAUCAUCUACAACUCGACUUCCCCCGCGGAAUCAAAAGAAAAAUCAAGUGAGUCGAGUAUCUCAAAAGAAUCGGACUUCUAAACCGCAACGCCAAGUUCUAACUUAGCCUCAAGUGAAGAAAACACCAACGGUUGAUCUAAAAUCUAAGCAAAUGGCAUCAAACGUCGACAAGUCGAGAAAACCAAAGAUCCGACAAGUUUGGAUCCGGAAAGGUGAUAUCUUUCCUUGCUUCUCGUCUUAGUUGUUUUUUGAUUGCUUGUGUAGUGCUUUGAUAGGUGCUUAUUGCAUAUGUUUAUUCGCUGCAUUACAUGUUUAAAUAAUUUUUGGUGCUUUGAAUUUUGUUUGUUUAAAGAUCAUUUUGAGGAAAGGUGUUUGGGAAUUUAAAAAUUUUUCUUUGAGAGAGGAGAUGAUUGAGAAUCAUUAUUUUGAGGAGAGAAAUUUUUCAAAAUUGUUUAAACGGUGUUUAACUUCACAAUCAUAUUAAUUAUCGUUUUUACUCCACUUUUUAUUAUUUUGACGAUAAUUUAAUAUAUGAUUUCUCAAUACAUAUAUUUAUCAAAAUUUUGAAAUCAAAUUUGAUCUCUUGAUGAUUAAUCUAUCUCGGUUGUGGGUGUUGAAUAUGACAGAUGGAUAUUCGCUAAUAGGUUUCCUCAUCUAAUUUAAUCGUUUUUACCUCAUCUAAUCUCAAGUUUCAGCUUCUAGCUGAAUUCAUAUUGUUCUAUUAGGUUUCCUCAUAGAAUUACAUGCUAGUAGCAAGUUCUAACAUCCAAAAUCUGUUAAGGUUUUUGUAUUGGCAAGUUUCGUGAAAUGAGUCAGAGUCUUGAAGAAUCGAAGCAGAUUGACGAAGAUUGAAGAAUUCAAUAUUUCGAAGAUUUUGGAAAGUAGCUCACAAUGUGAAUCACGAUGUAAAGGUAAAGUUUUAAUUCAUUUUAUGGUGAUUCAUACUUAGUUAUAGACAUUAAAAUCAUAAACUUAAAGUUUAAUGAAUUAGAAAGUGCCUCGGAACAUUGUGAUACCCGAAACAGUGCAAAGUGUGAAAUUUGCACUGUGUACGGGUACAGCAAGUGCCCCGUACUGGUACAGCCAUCAACAUUGGCAAUGCAAAUUUUCGUUCCGUCAUUGUGUAACCGGUGACAGCUUUUCGCGUACCGGUACACAGUGUAAAAUCGUGAAAACUUUCUAAUCCGACUCCAAUUGAUUCUAAAGUCUAUAAAUAAGCUAUUCGGUUUUUCUAACAGAUUAAGGAUCACGAAAAUACAUGUUUGAGAAACCCUAGAGGCUCGGAUUUCAUCUAAAACCUAUUUUCUACAUAUUAGCCUCUUUUAGGUCAAAUCGAGAUAUUGAAAUUUCAUAUCUAUAUGUCGAUUUGAUCUCCGCUUCGCUUGGAGUUUCUUUCUUUGGUUUUCAUCGAUACUCUAAGCGAAGGAUCACCAUACUCAUGAUGUUCUUCAUGGUGGCGUCGUGGAUUCGGCGUGUUUAACGGCGGUUCGUGAAUUCGAAUCGUGGGCUCGUGGAUUCGAGUGGCGUUCGUAGAUUCGGACGUGUGCGAGGCGUUCGUGGAUUCGAACGUGAGGGCGUGGACAACCCAGAGGAUUGCGCGAGAUUCAUAGGAUGUUAAGAGAGGUUGAGUCCGUGGAGUCGGUAAUCACCUUGUAAUUUUUUCUUUUAGUGAAUUAUUUUUUCGCGUGUUGGUCCCGUGGGUUUUUUACUCCAAGUUGGAGUUUUCCCACGUAAAUCUCGGUGUGAUUUUUAUUUUCCGCAUUUAUUUUUAUCGCAUUGAGAUUUGUGGUUUUUGGCUAUUUCACCUAUUCACCCCCCUCUAGGUGAUAGAUACAAUAUAGAUAGAUCCUUGGGCUCCUCAAAACUUUCAAUUGGUAUCAAAGAAGGAUCUAGAUAAAUUGUUUAUCUAAUGGUCGAAAGUGGAAACAUUAAUCGACCACCGCUCUUCGAUGGCACAAACCCUAUUGGAAAGUUCGCAUGAGUGCUUUUCUAAUUGCAAUCGAUGAGCGCGUUUGGCAAUCAAUAGAAUUUGGAUGGGAACCUCCCAUUGAAAAGGUCAAGAAUGUUGAAAUGCCAAAACAACGGAACAAGUAGACGAAAGAUGAAAACGAGGCAUCUUCGUUUAACGGUAAGGGCAUAAACGCUUUAUUUAAUGCAUUGUCUCAAAAGGAGUUUACUCGUGUUUCGGCGUGUGAAACCGCCAAGGAGAUUUGGGAUAUUCUUCAAGUUACACAUGAAGGAACGAGCUUAGUAAAGGUCCAAAAGUAGCAAAUGCUAACAAGCAAGUUUGAUUCUACUUGUAUGGAUGAAAAUGAGACCUUUACCGAGUAUUAUACGCAUCUACAAGACGUUGUGAAUACAUGUGCUAACUUGGGAGAGAAAAUCUCGGAUUCAAAGGUUGUUAGAAAGAUUCUUCGAACUCUUCUGGAACGCUUUCGGGCAAAAGUUGCCGCGAUCGAAACCGUUAAGCAUCCGGAUGAGAUGAAAGUCGAAGAGUUAGUAGGCGCUUUACAAACAUAUGAGAUGACUUUUCCUACUAAUCAAUCUUCUUCGAAGUCUUUCUCUAAAAGCACAGGGGUUGCAUUGAAAUCGACGAAAGAGGAAGACGGCGACUCGAAUUCCGAUGGAGAGAUCUCAAUUGCCGACUUCGAACAUCAACUUGCGCUCCUCACGAAAAAGUUUCGCCGGAAUUUCCGAAAGAAGAACAAUUCGGACAAGGCUACAUCAUCUAAGCAACAAACGUUUUUUAAAUCUUCUACAUCUAAAGAGAAGAAGCAUGCAAAGGCUUCGAAAGAAAAGGAUGAAUUUGAAGGUGAAAUCCGAUGCUUCAAGUGCAAAGGCUACGGUCACAUCGCAACGGAUUGUCCCUCAAAGAAAUCAUAUAGUAAGAAGGCAUUGCAAGCAAAGAUGUGGGAUGAUGCAACUUCAAGUGAUUCAAGCUCGAGUGACGAAGAAAAGAAUGGAAACCUUACUUUAUUUGCUAAAUCUACCUUGCCUUCGUCUAACGUUGUUUGUUUAUCCUCUAUUGCUACUAAUUCCAAUAUUUCUCUUUCUUCGCAUGAUUCUUCGAGCGACAAUGGCAAAAGUGAGGAGGAAUCAAACGACGACGACAUAGCGGAAGCGUACAAUCAACUUCUUAUUGAAUCAAAGAAGAUGGCUAAACUUAAUAAGAAGUUGAGGCGUCGUUUGUUGAAUCUUGAAGAGGACAACAACAACUUGAAGACCACAAACAAAGCUCUUGAGGAGGAAAGGGAAUCAAUUUUGAAAAAUAAUUCAGACCUCCAAGAGAAGCUCAAUGAAGCGGAAUCAACGAUCAAAUCAUCUAAAAACAAGAUUGGAUUUUUGGAGCAUCAAUUUCAUGAAUCGCACAAAUCCAAUCAAUCCUUGAUCAACCAAGUUCGACAACUCCAAAUCGACAUUCAAAAGUUUUCAUCGAGAUCUAAGAAAUUGGAUAAAAUGCUUGGAUUGGGUCAAACGGAUAAAUUAGGCCUCGGAUACGAAAGAAUUUUUGUUGAGAAGGAUUCUAAAUCAACUUCGAAAGUCUCAACAACUUUGAAAGACAAGGCGUGUCAUCGUUGUGGCAAUAAAGGACACAUAAAAAAGAAUUGCUCAAACAAGGAAAAGAUGAAUCAAUCGGCAAAGACUUCACAUCAUUCGACAACUCCUAAAGCUCAAGCGGCAUCAUCUACAACUCGACUUCCCCCGCGGAAUCAAAAGAAAAAUCAAGUGAGUCGAGUAUCUCGAAAGAAUCGGACUUCUAAACCGCAACGCCAAGUUCAAACUAAGCCUCAAGCGAAGAAAACACCAACGGUUGAUCUAAAAUCUAAGCAAAUGGCACCAAACGUCGACAAGUCGAGAAAACCAAAGAUCCGACAAGUUUGGAUCCGGAAAGGUGAUAUCUUUCCUUGCUUCUCGUCUUAGUUGUUUUUGAUUGCUUGUGUAGUGCUUUGAUAGGUGCUUAUUGCAUAUGUUUAUUCACUGCAUUACAUGUUUAAAUAAUUUUUGGUGCUUUGAAUUUUGUUUGUUUAAAGAUCAUUUUGAGGAAAGGUGUUUGGAAAUUUAAAAAUUUUUCUUUGAGAGAGGAGAUGAUUGAGAAUCAUUAUUUUGAGGAGAGAAAUUUUUCAAAAUUGUUUAAACGGUGUUUAACUUCACAAUCAUAUUAAUUAUCGUUUUUACUCCACUUUUUAUUAUUUUGACNAUAUUAAUUAUCGUUUUUACUCCACUUUUUAUUAUUUUGACCAUAAUUUAAUAUAUGAUUUCUCAAUACAUAUAUUUAUCAAAAUUUUGAAAUCAAAUUUGAUCUCUUGAUGAUUAAUCUAUCUCGGUUGUGUGUUUUGAAUAUGGUAGAUGGAUAUUCGCUAAUAGGUUUCCUCAUCUAAUUUAAGCGUUUUUACCUCAUCUAAUCUCAAGUUUCAGCUUCUAGCUGAAUUCAUAUUGUUCUAUUAGGUUUCCUCAUAGAAUUACAUGCUAGUAGCAAGUUCUAACAUCCAAAAUCUGUUAAGGUUUUUGUGUUGGCGAGUUUCGUGAAGUGAGUCGUAGUCUUGAAGGAUCGAAGCGGAUUGACGAAGAUUGAAGAAUUCAAGAUUUCGAAGAUUUUAGAAAGUAGCUCACAAUGUGAAUCACGACGUAAAGGUAAAGUUUUAAUUCAUGUUAUGGUGAUUCAUACUUAGUUAUAGGCAUUAGAAUUAUAAACUUAAAGUUUAAUGAAUUAGAAAGUGCCAUGGAACGUUGUGAUAUCCGAAAUAGUGCAAAGUGUGAAAUUUGCACUGUGUACCGGUACAGCAAGUGCCCCGUACCGGUACAGCCAUCAACAUUGGCAAUGCAAAUUUUCGUUCCGUCAUUGUGUAACCGGUGACAGCUUUUCGCGUACCAGUACACAGUGUAAAAUCGUGAAAACUUUCUUAUUCGACUCCAAUUGAUUCUAAAGUCUAUAAAUAAGCUAUUGGGCUUCUCUAACAGAUUACGGAUCACGAAAAUACAUGUUUGAGAAACCCUAGAGGCUCGGAUUUCAUCUAAAACCUAUUUUCUACAUAUUAGCCUCUUUUAGGUCAAAUCGAGAUAUUCAAAUUUCAUAUCAAUAUGUCGAUUUCAUCUCCACUUCGCUUGGAGUUUCUUUCUCUGGUUUUCAUCGAUACUCUAAGCGAAGGAUCACCAUACUCAUGAUGUUCUUCAAGGUGGCGUCGUGGAUUCGGCGUGUUCGACGGCGGUUCGUGGGUUCGGAUCGUGGGCUCGUGGAUUCGAGUGGCGUUCGUGGAUUCGGACGUGUGCGAGGCGUUCGUGGAUUCGAACGUCAGGGCGUGGACAGCCCGGAGGAUUGCGCGAGAUUCAUAGGUGGUUAAGAGAGGUUGAGUCCGUGGAGUCGGUAAUCACCUUGUAAUCUUUUCUUUUAGUGAAUUAUUUUUUCGCGUGUUGGUCCCGUGGGUUUUUUACUCCAAGUUGGAGUUUUCCCACGUAAAUCUCGGUGUGAUUUUUAUUUUUCGUAUUUAUUUUUAUCGCAUUGAGAUUUGUGGUUUUUGGCUAUUUCACCUAUUCACCCCACUCUAGGUGAUAGAUACAAUCUAGAUAGAUUCUUGGCUCCUCAAAACUUUUAAAAUCAGUAAUUUAGAUCCUUUCUAGAUCAAUUAAUCUACUCAAACCUGGAAUUUACCAAUCCUUACCUCAGAUUUCAGCUACCCCCAGCUGGUUUCUCUACUUAAAAGACUUCCUCUCGGCUCAAUUCCACUCCACCAAUCAACUCUACCAACUUCUUCACAAUCAGCCAUCUCAGGUUUAGAGAGAGAAAGAAGAAGAAAGAGCUAAAUAAGAGAG